rnacentral:rRNA from 1 species
UGUCGUCAGCUCGUGUUGUGAAAUGUUGGGUUAAGUCCCGCAACGAGCGCAACCCUUAUCCUUUGUUGCCAGCGGUCCGGCCGGGAACUCAAAGGAGACUGCCAGUGAUAAACUGGAGGAAGGUGGGGAUGACGUCAAGUCAUCAUGGCCCUUACGACCAGGGCUACACACGUGCUACAAUGGCGCAUACAAAGAGAAGCGACCUCGCGAGAGCAAGCGGACCUCAUAAAGUGCGUCGUAGUCCGGAUUGGAGUCUGCAACUCGACUCCAUGAAGUCGGAAUCGCUAGUAAU